UGGGGCGUGGCCAAGUGGUAAGGCACAGGUCUUUGGAACCUGUAUUCGAAGGUUCGAAUCCUUCCGCCCCAGCUA
rnacentral:tRNA from 2 species